AAUUUUCCGCAAUGGGCGAAAGCCUGACGGAGCAACGCCGCGUGCGGGAUGACGCCCUUCGGGGUGUAAACCGCUGUUCGUGGGGACGAAGCACUGACGGUACCCACGGAGGAAGGCCCGGCUAACUACGUGCCCGCAGCCGCGGUAAUACGUAGGGGCCGAGCGUUGUCCGGAGUUACUGGGCGUAAAGCAUGCGCAGGCGGCUUGUCGCGCCCGGCGUGAAGGGCCCCGGCUCAACCGGGGAGGGUCGUCGGGGACGGGCAGGCUUGAGGACAGCAGGGGCUGGUGGAAUUCCCGGUGUAGUGGUGAAAUGCGUAGAGAUCGGGAGGAACACCUGUGGCGAAGGCGGCCAGCUGGGCUGGACCUGACGCUGAGGCACGAAGGCGUGGGGAGCGAACGGG
rnacentral:rRNA from 1 species